rnacentral:RNase_P_RNA from 1 species
AGAGUUGGACAGGCGAUCGCGGCCGAUGGGACAGUGGCUGUUUAUGGCCAAACGACCCCAGCGUGCUGAGGAAAGUCCGGGCACCACAGGGCAGGUUGCCGGGUAAAGGCCCGGUGGACGUGAGUCCGAGGAGAGUGCCACAGAAAUGCCAAACCACAGCGUGGCCGUGAGCCAAUGCUGUAAGGGUGCAACGGUGGUGUAAGAGACCACCGGCAGGGCUGGAAGGCCCUGGCCAGGUAAACCCCGACCGGUGCAAGACUGGAGAUACAUCAAGGGCUGCCCGUCCGUGUCUCCGUGAGCGUCGCAAGAGCCUUGGGAGCAAUCCCGGGCCCAGAUAGAUGAUCGCCCUCGACAGAACCCGGCUUAUGGCCAACUCUGCCC